GAUGAUCUGGCCUCGAAAUUCUCGGAAACCGACAAUUACUAAAACAGUAAACGCAGACAAAGGUCCGUGGUCGUGCGCACGAAUUCUCGUCGCGAGUGUCUCUCCGCGAAAUUAUCCGUCGUCUUUUCCAAUCUGGUCUUUUCGAUGAACUACGUCGAGCUCGCUGCUCGCGUACUUACUCGUCAAGUCGACACGCAAAAGAGAAAGAGAUCCACGGAUCAAUGAUGACGCAUUCGUAUCUCCUUGCCUUGCGUCCAUCGGCGAACCUAACCUCUCCGCGGAUGAGAAAGCGUUGAUUGCGGUUGGGCAAAUUGUCGAUAUGCGGCGGUUCUUUCUACGCUUGGGACGCAUCCAGGAAGAGAAGAGCCGUUACGAAUCGAUAUUCGAACAACCCACGAGGCAACAGAUGACGAUGAAAUUAUGGGCGUGCGUUGGUGAAUGUUCAAAGAAUGGACUGUCGCAAGGAUCUUGAAAGGUUCGUUCGGUCGUUUCCUGAGACGGUGAUGACGUCCAUGAGUCGAUGCAUCGGAACGCAGUUGGCCACGACGCAUUGCAGCACGUGCUAUAUCGAAUGCUUGCACGGAACAUCGGACUCGAGAUGCAUCAGAGAGGCUCCCGCAUCCUUCGCGACCUCCAGAAGUGCCAGUCGAUUUGCCCACAACUAGGCAGACAACGCCAUUGACAAAGGGCACUUGAUAAUGAAGCAGUACUCACCGGCCAC